rnacentral:lncRNA from 1 species
AUGAGACUGUCUGGACAACACCCCACCUCCCAGCGCCUUCCUCCUGGAACCCGCUCACCCUCAGCCCAGAACCACAGCCCAGAUCCACAGUGGAGCAGGCUUCCAGGAGCCCGCUCACCCUCAGCUCAGACCUUCAGCUCAGACUCACAGCAGAGGAGGCCUGCCACCCUCCACAGACCUAUAGCGGAGCAGGCUUCCUGGAGCCCACUCACCCUCAGCUCAGAUCCACAGCGGAGCAGGCAUCCUGGAGCCCAGUCAAGCUCAGCUCAGACCCUCAGCUCAGAUCCACAGUGGAGCAAGCCUCCUGGAGCCCGCUCACCCUCAGCCCAGAUCCACAGCUCAGACUCACAGCAGAGGAGGCCUGCCACCCUCCACAGACCUAUAGUGGAGCAGGCUUCCUGGAGCUCGUGCACACUCAGCCCAGAACCACAGCCCCGAUCCACAGCGGAGCAGAUCUGGAGCCCGCUCACCCUCAGCUCAGACCCACAGCGGAGCAGGCCUGGAGCCCACUCACCCUCAGCUCAGACCCACAGCGGAGCAGGCCUGGAGCCCACUCACCCUCAGCUCAGACCCACAGUGGAGCAGAUCUGGAGCCCCGCUCACCCUCAGCUCAGACCCACAGCGGAGCAGGCCUGGAGCCCACUCAUACUCAGCCUGGAUUCACAGUGGAGCAGGCCUCCUGGAGCCCAGUCAAGCUCAGCUCAGACCCACAGCGGAGCAGGCCUGGAGCCCACUCAUACUCAGCCUGGAUUCACAGUGGAGCAGGCCUCCUGGAGCCCAGUCAAGCUCAGCUCAGACCCACAGCGGAGCAGGCCUGGAGCCCACUCAUACUCAGCCUGGAUUCACAGUGGAGCAGAUCUGGAGCCUGCUCACCCUCAGCUCAGACCCACAGUGGAGGAGAUUUGGAGCCCGCUCACCCUCAGCUCAGACCCACAGCGGAGCAGGCCUGGAGCCCGCUCAUACUCAGCCUGGAUUCACAGUGGAGCAGGCCUGGAGCCCGCUCAUACUCAGCCUGGAUUCACAGUGGAGCAGGCCUGGAGCCCGCUCACCCUCAGCCUGGAUUGA